rnacentral:rRNA from 1 species
GUCUAUGGCCAUGCUACCCUGAACGAGCCCGAUUCCGUCUGAUCUCAGAAGCUAAGCAGGGUCGGGCCUGGUUAGUACUUGGAUAGACCACCUAGGAAGACCAGGUGCCGUAGGCA